rnacentral:rRNA from 1 species
UAGGGAAUCUUCGGCAAUGGACGAAAGUCUGACCGAGCAACGCCGCGUGAGUGAAGAAGGUUUUCGGAUCGUAAAACUCUGUUGUUAGAGAAGAACAAGGACGUUAGUAACUGAACGUCCCCUGACGGUAUCUAACCAGAAAGCCACGGCUAACUACGUGCCAGCAGCCGCGGUAAUACGUAGGUGGCAAGCGUUGUCCGGAUUUAUUGGGCGUAAAGCGAGCGCAGGCGGUUUCUUAAGUCUGAUGUGAAAGCCCCCGGCUCAACCGGGGAGGGUCAUUGGAAACUGGGAGGCUUGAGUGGAGAAGAGGAGAGUGGAAUUCCAUGUGUAGCGGUGAAAUGCGUAGAUAUAUGGAGGAACACCAGUGGCGAAGGCGGCUCUCUGGUCUGUAACUGACGCUGAGGCUCGAAAGCGUGGGGAGCAAACAGG